rnacentral:ncRNA from 1 species
GAAAGCCGUAUGCAUAGGAAUAUGCCCGUGCGGUUUGGGUGAGGGUUUAAUAUAACUUUUUAUAUAAAUUUUUAUAAAAUUAAUUAUGUUAUUUCUAUUCAGGGC